AUUAUUAUUCUUAUUAUUUUUGGCACCGCUAGAGAAGUAUAUUUUUGGGGAAUUGUUUUCACCUAAAAAUCCAAAUAUAAUCUGAAUGUAAGCUUAAGGUUUCUGAAAGCUAUAGCCGCCGCGGCUGGCGAAGCGCAUGCAAGAGUCCGAUGCUUACGACCAUAUAGUUUCAGAAAGAGCACAAGAAAUAGAAGAUAAGUCCGAGUACGAAGGUGAUAUUCAUUUUGAAGCUAAAUCGAAAUGCGGGAUAAUGUCCCUGUAGAUUCCAUCCAUGUGUAGUAGACAUCAUCCGAGCAACGGAGAUCCAGCCCAUAUAUUCAAAACUAUAUCCAUUGUCAAUGGGAGUAGCCGACUUCGUAGCUCGUGAAACAGAAGACCUUCUGCGAACGGCAUUAUCAGAGAGACACGAUCCCCAUAUAAUAAUCUAAUAUCGACAAAAUGGGAACAGAUGAACAAGUACCAGCUGCCGGACAUUUUGAUGGUUUCACAACACUGGUCAUUUUCUCUGAAAACACGACAGAUCACGCCAAACAUGUCGAGCGGGUCUUAAAAAGUCUGAUCAAUGCAAACAUGAGAGUGUCUCACAAAAAGAUAUUAAGACUACCAUGGAAUUCUUAGGUAUGUUGUAAUGACGAAGGCAUAAGAACGGAUGCCGAAAGGGUCAAGGACAUAAAGGAGUACGUUGAGCCGAAAACUGUGCUAGAGCUCAGGUCAUGUAUGAACGCAAGGAUCUCAGAACAUAUAAGAGCUAGACACUUAAAAUGUUAUCUGUAGGUCCUC